AUAAGUUACUAAGGGCACACAGGGAAUGCCUUGGAUUUGAGAGGCGAUGAAAGACGUGAUAAGCUGCGAUAAGCUACGGGGAGAAGCACACAUUUUGUGAUCCGUAGAUUUCUGAAUGGGGCAACCCGUCUGGUUGAAGACCAGUCAUCCCGAUUUAUCGGGAAGCUAACCUGGAGAACUGAAACAUCUAAGUACCCAGAGGAAGAGAAAACAAUAGUGAUUUUGGUAGUAGCGGCGAGCGAAACUGAAGUAGCCCAAACCGGAGUUGUUUCGGCAACUUCGGGGUUGUAGGACUACAAUAUGGACUUAUAUAUUAUAAUCGAGACGAGUUGGAAAGCUCAACCAAAGAGGGUGAUAGUCCCGUAGAUGAAAUAAUAUGUAUACCUAGUAGUAUCCUGAGUAGGGCGGGACAUGUGAAAUCCUGUCUGAAUCUAGCAGAACCAUCUGUUAAGGCUAAAUACUCCUCAAAUACCGAUAGCGAACCAGUACCGUGAGGGAAAGGUGAAAAGAACCCUGAAUAAGGGAGUGAAAAAGAUCCUGAAACUGUGUGCCUACAAGCGGUCGGAGCCUACGGGUGACGGCGUGCCUUUUGCAUAAUGAUCCUACGAGUUACUCCUCACUAGCGAGAUUAAGGUUUUCAGAACCGUAGUCGAAGCGAAAGCAAGUCUUAAUAGGGCGUUUUAGUUAGUGGGGGUAGACGCGAAACCUUGUGAUCUACCCAUGGUCAGGUUGAAGUUCCAGUAACAUGGAAUGGAGGACCGAACUGAUAUACGCUGAAAAGUAUUCAGAUGAACUGUGGGUAGGGGUGAAAGGCCAAUCAAACUAGGAAAUAGCUCGUACUCCCCGAAAUGCAUUUAGGUGCAGCGUUCAGGUAGAGUCUUAUAGAGGUAGAGCUACUGAUUGGGCUAGGGGGCUUCACCGCCUACCAAACCCAGACAAACUCCGAAUGCUAUUAAGAUAUACUGAGCAGUGAGGGCAUGGGUGCUAAGGUCCAUGUCCGAGAGGGAAAGAACCCAGACCAUCAGCUAAGGUCCCAAAAUAUACGCUAAGUUGAAUUAACGUUGUUUGAUUGCUUAGACAGCUAGGAUGUUGGCUUGGAAGCAGCCAUUCAUUUAAAGAGUGCGUAACAGCUCACUAGUCGAGCGAUCGAGCGUGGAUAAUAAUCGGGCAUAAGCGUAUUACCGAAGCUGUGGAUUUUCUAAUUAAUUUUAGAGAGUGGUAGGGGAGCAUUCUAUAUGCGUUGAAUGUGUGCUUUGAGGCAUGCUGGAGCGUAUAGAAAAGCAAAUGUAGGAAUAAGUAACGAUAAAGCAGGCGAGAAACCUGCUCACCGAUAGACUAAGGUUUCCUGAGCGACGCUAAUCGUCUCAGGGUUAGUCGGGACCUAACGCGAACCCGAGAGGGGUAGUGGAUGGAUAAUGGGUUAAUAUUCCCAUACUAAUUGUAAUUGCGAUGGGGUGACGGAGUGAUGAAAGAUCUGCGAACUGACGGAAUAGUUCGUUAAAGCGUGUAGCUAUAUUGUGUAUAGGCAAAUCCGUACAUAAUGGCCAAUGUGAUAGUACCACAAGUCUACGGAUGAGUGGAUAAUGAUCCUAAGUGCUUCCAAGAAAACCCUCUAAGCUUCAGAUUACAAUUACUCGUACCGUAAACCGACACAGGUAGUCAAGGAGAGAAUCCUAAGGUGCUCGAGUGAAUCAUGGCUAAGGAACUAGGCAAAAUGGUCUCGUAACUUCGGGAGAAGAGACGCCCCCGAGCAAUCGGGGGCCGCAGUGAAUAGGCCCAGGCGACUGUUUAUCAAAAACACAUGGCUUUGCGAAAACGAAAGUUGAAGUAUAAGGCCUGACACCUGCCCGGUGCCGGAAGGUUAAGAGGAGAUGUCACCCCGAGUAAUCGGGGGAAGCAUUGAAUUGAAGCCCCGGUAAACGGCGGCCGUAACUAUAACGGUCCUAAGGUAGCGAAAUUCCUUGUCGGGUAAGUUCCGACCUGCACGAAUGGUGCAACGAUCUGGGCACUGUCUCAGCCAUGAGCUCGGUGAAAUUGUAGUAUCGGUGAAGAUGCCGAUUACCCGCAACGGGACGGAAAGACCCCGUGAACCUUUACUAUAGCUUCACAUUGAUAUUGGACACUUUAUGUGUAGGAUAGGUGGGAGACUUUGAUCGUGCGUCGCUAGGCGUAUGUUAGUCGUUGUUGAAAUACC
rnacentral:rRNA from 1 species